rnacentral:rRNA from 1 species
ACGCACGCUGGCGGCGUGCCUAAUCCAUGCAAGUAGAACGCUGAAGAGAGGAGCUUACUCUUCUUGGAUGAGUUGCGAACGGGUGAGUAACGCGUAGGUAACCUGCCUUGUAGCGGGGGAUAACUAUUGGAAACGAUAGCUAAUACCGCAUAACAAUGGAUGACACAUGUCAUUUAUUUGAAAGGGGCAAUUGCUCCACUACAAGAUGGACCUGCGUUGUAUUAGCUAGUAGGUGAGGUAAUGGCUCACCUAGGCGACGAUACAUAGCCGACCUGAGAGGGUGAUCGGCCACACUGGGACUGAGACACGGCCCAGACUCCUACGGGAGGCAGCAGUAGGGAAUCUUCGGCAAUGGGGGCAACCCUGACCGAGCAACGCCGCGUGAGUGAAGAAGGUUUUCGGAUCGUAAAGCUCUGUUGUAAGUCAAGAACGGGUGUGAGAGUGGAAAGUUCACACUGUGACGGUAGCUUACCAGAAAGGGACGGCUAACUACGUG